UUAUUCUUCAUUGUGACUCUUAGAAAGAGAAACAAGACUCAAGGUCCAGCAUCAAUCCAAAGCCAAUCACACAGAGGCUCCUCAGACAACCACACAGUUUCCCGUGAUGUCUAUGUCUAUGAGGAG